rnacentral:rRNA from 1 species
AUUGAACGCUGGCGGCAGGCCUAACACAUGCAAGUCGAACGAGUGGCGGACGGGUGAGUAAUGUCUGGGAAACUGCCCGAUGGAUGGGGAUAACUACUGGAAACGGUAGCUAAUACCGCAUACCAUCGGAUGUUCCCAGAUUGUAUUUGCUAGUAGGUGGGGUAACGGCUCACCUAGGCGACGAUCCCUAGCUGGUCUGAGAGGAUGACCAGCCAAACUGGAAUGGAGACAGGGUCCAGACGCCUACGGGAGGCAGCAGUGGGGAAUAGUGAACAAGGGGCGAAAGCCGGAGGCAGCAAGGCCGCGUGUAUGAAGAAGGCCUUCGGGUUGUAAAGAACUUUGGGCAGGAAAGCGGUACCUGCAGAAUAAGCACCGGCUAACUACGUGCCAGCCGCCGCGGUAAUAC